rnacentral:lncRNA from 1 species
AUAAUACCUAUUUUUGGUGUUAAUUAUCUUGUCAAAUAAAUGACUUAAUUAAUUGACCUAAAGGAUAUUCUUCUUAUCCAUGUGGCGUCUCAUGAUUGGAGAUUGGUGGGGAGGGGAUCAGAUAAAAGAGAGAGAAAGAGUCUUCCUUUUUUUGGUUUUAGUAUUUUAUAUUGUUAAUUAAUUAAUUAAUAAUAUUAUUUAUUCGGUGGAUGGAAAGAUAAUGGGUAUUUUAAGAAUGAUAGUGGGUGGAAUAAUAAGAUUGUGUUUUUUUCAAAUUUAUAUGGUGGG